AGUGGGGAAUAUUGCACAAUGGGCGAAAGCCUGAUGCAGCAAUACCGCGUGGAGGAUGACGCAUUUCGGUGUGUAAACUCCUUUUUUAUGAGAAGAAAUUUGACGGUAUCAUAAGAAUAAGCUCCGGCUAACUCCGUGCCAGCAGCCGCGGUAAUACGGAGGGAGCAAGCGUUACUCGGAAUCACUGGGCGUAAAGGGUGCGUAGGCGGUUUAGUAAGUCAGAAGUGAAAUCCCAUAGCUUAACUAUGGAACUGCUUUUGAAACUACUAAACUAGAGUGAGGGAGAGGUAGAUGGAAUUAGUGGUGUAGGGGUAAAAUCCGUAGAGAUCACUAGGAAUACCGAAAGCGAAGGCGAUCUACUGGAACUCAACUGACGCUAAGGCACGAAAGUGUGGGGAGCAAACAGGAUUAGAUACCCUGGUAGUCCACACCCUAAACGAUGUUCACUAGUCGUCGGAAAGCUCGACUUUUCGGUGAUGCACUUAACAGAUUAAGUGAACCGCCUGGGGAGUACGGUCGCAAGAUUAAAACUCAAAGGAAUAGACGGGGACCCGCACAAGCGGUGGAGCAUGUGGUUUAAUUCGACGAUACGCGAAGAACCUUACCUAGCCUUGACAUACCAAAAAGAUUUCAGAGAUGAGAUUGUGCCUGCUUGCAGGAAUUUGGAUACAGGUGCUGCACGGCUGUCGUCAGCUCGUGUCGUGAGAUGUUGGGUUAAGUCCCGCAACGAGCGCAACCCUCGUCCUUAGUUGCUAACAGUUCGGCUGAGCACUCUAAGGAGACUGCCUUCGUAAGGAGGAGGAAGGUGAGGACGACGUCAAGUCAUCAUGGCCCUUAUGGCUAGGGCUACACACGUGCUACAAUGGAUAAGACAAAUAGUCGCAAUACCGCGAGGUGGAGCAAAUCUAUAAACUUAUUCUCAGUUCGGAUAGCAGUCUGCAACUCGACUGCUUGAAGCUGGAAUCGCUAGUAAUCGUAAAUCAGCAAUGUUACGGUGAAUACGU
rnacentral:rRNA from 1 species